UACGUAGGGACCGAGCGUUGUCCGGAUUCAUUGGGCGUAAAGAGCUCGUAGGCGGCCACUCAAGUCGAAUGUGAAACCUCGAGGCUUAACCUCGAGCCUGCAUUCGAUACUGGGCGGCUAGAGUCUGGUAGGGGGAUCUGGAAUUCCUGGUGUAGCGGUGGAAUGCGCAGAUAUCAGGAGGAACACCGGUGGCGAAGGCGGGAUCCUGGGCCAGUACUGACGCUGAGGAGCGAAAGCGUGGGGAGCGAACGAGG
rnacentral:rRNA from 1 species